GGCUGAGGGACGGGACAGGGCUGAGGGACCGGACAUGGCUAAGGGGCGUCGCUACCCAACAGCGGGAAGUGAGCUCUGGGGGCUUUUCUGACGGAGAUCGUCUCCAGUUUAUGCUCAGGGCCACUCACUUUGCCCAGACUCCUACAAGUUUUGAGUGGGUCGUGAUAAAGGUGAACCAGGGGGUCGGGAUUCGCUGCGUUUGUCUGAGGAAAGGCUUUGCGUUCAGGGGCUGGCGAACACCUCCGCAUGCUUGCUCGGAUCUUGUCCUGAAAGUGCUCCAGUCUCGAGAGCCGGCCCCGGUGAGCUAUUUCAUUCCCUCGGGAGCUGAAGGAGCGCUUUCCUGGGCUGUGGAAGUGCGGGGAGUGCCAUGGACACGGGCAGGCACGCAGCAGCUCUGCUGGCCGGGCACUAAAGGUUUUAUGGCUUAAUGUUUCCUGUGUUGAAGUCUUCUUGGAGAGAGAACAAUAUACUCGUACCUUAAUAUAUGGCUGCA